AGAGAGAGACAUGCGCGCAUAUCAAUAAGCGGAGGAAAAGAAACUAACAAGGAUUCCCUUAGUAACGGCGAGUGAAGCGGGAAGAGCUCAAAUUUGAAAUCUUCAAGGUUCUACCUUGACGAAUUGUAGUUUAUAGAAGUGUUUUCUGUUAGUGGAGUUGGCUAAAAGUUCUUUGGAAUAGGACAUCAUAGAGGGUGAGAAUCCCGUAUUUGGUCAUUCCUCCUAGCGUUGUGAUACACUUUCAACGAGUCGGAUUGUUUGGGAAUGCAGUCCAAAAUGGGUGGUAAAUUUCAUCUAAAGCUAAAUAUUGGCGAGAGACCGAUAGCGAACAAGUACCGUGAGGGAAAGAUGAAAAGAACUUUGAAAAGAGAGUUAAACAGUACGUGAAAUUGUCAAAAGGGAAGCGUUUGACACCAGUGUUGUUUUUCCGAAAAUCAAUUACGAAUGUUUUAUUUUUGAGGAGUUAUGACUUCAUCGGCUUGCUCCUUUCUUUAUGAAACUUUCUUAAUGCACUUUUCGGUUAACAAGUCAACAUCAAUUUCUUUUGUUGUAAAAGGGUAUGAGGAAGGUGGCUUUCUUUUCGGAGAAAGUGUUUAUAGCCUUGUGCCUCUGCAAUCGGAGAGAUUGAGGUCUGCAGCGUAGAUCCUUCGGGGUUAGAUACGUUUGUGCUAAGCUAUAGCUUUUCAUAGACAACUUGUUGACUAUGUUUAGUCAUGUAGCUUACUCGCUGACGCUAUUUUACCUACGCUUAGGAUGUUGAUAGUCACAGCGUUAC
rnacentral:rRNA from 1 species